UACGGAGGGUGCAAGCGUUGUUCGGAAUCAUUGGGCGUAAAGCGCGUGUAGGCGGCUUGGUAAGUCGGGUGUGAAAUCCCGGGGCUCAACCCCGGAACUGCACUCGAAACUGCCUCGCUAGAGUCUCGGAGAGGAAGGCGGAAGUCCCGGUGUAGAGGUGAAAUUCGUAGAUAUCGGGAGGAACACCAGCGGCGAAGGCGGCCUUCUGGACGGUGACUGACGCUGAGACGCGAAAGCGUGGGGAGCAAACAGG
rnacentral:rRNA from 1 species